rfam:Homo sapiens chromosome X, GRCh38 reference primary assembly.
GCCGGGCAUGGUGGCGCACGCCUGUAAUCCCAGCUACUCGGGAGGCUGAGGCAGGAGAAUUGCUUGAACCCGGGAGGCAGGUGGAGGUUGCAGUGAGCCGAGAUUGUACCAUUGCACUCCAGCCCGGGUGACAAAAGCAAGAAUCUGUCUCAA